rnacentral:rRNA from 1 species
CCCUUAGAUGUUCUGGGCCGCACGCGUGCUACACUGAGUGGAUCAGCGGGUCAGGUUGCGCGAAAGCGUUUCCUAAUCUUUAAAUCCGCUCGUGAUGGGGAUUGACGGUUGCAAUUUUCUGUCAUGAACGAGGAAUACCUUGUAAGCGCGGGUCAUCAUCCCGCGCUGAAUACGUCCCUGCCCUUUGUACACACCGCCCGUCGCUCCUACCGAUUGAGUGGUCCGGUGAGGCUUUGGGAUCUGAGCGGAAAGAGCGUUUCGCUGUUUCUGCUCGGAAAACUCAGUCAAACCUGAUCAUUUAGAGGAAGGAGAAGUCGUAACA